UUGAACUGAAGAGUUUGAUCCUGGCUCAGAUUGAACGCUGGCGGCAUGCCUUACACAUGCAAGUCGGACGGCAGCGCGGGCUUCGGCCUGGCGGCGAGUGGCGAACGGGUGAGUAAUACAUCGGAACGUGUCCUGUAGUGGGGGAUAGCCCGGCGAAAGCCGGAUUAAUACCGCAUACGCUCUGCGGAGGAAAGCGGGGGAUCCUUCGGGACCUCGCGCUACAGGGGCGGCCGAUGGCAGAUUAGCUAGUUGGUGGGGUAAAGGCCUACCAAGGCGACGAUCUGUAGCUGGUCUGAGAGGACGACCAGCCACACUGGGACUGAGACACGGCCCAGACUCCUACGGGAGGCAGCAGUGGGGAAUUUUGGACAAUGGGGGCAACCCUGAUCCAGCAAUGCCGCGUGUGUGAAGAAGGCCUUCGGGUUGUAAAGCACUUUUGUCCGGAAAGAAAACUUCUGGGUUAAUACCCCGGGAGGAUGACGGUACCGGAAGAAUAAGCACCGGCUAACUACGUGCCAGCAGCCGCGGUAAUACGUAGGGUGCAAGCGUUAAUCGGAAUUACUGGGCGUAAAGCGUGCGCAGGCGGUUCGCUAAGACAGAUGUGAAAUCCCCGGGCUUAACCUGGGAACUGCAUUUGUGACUGGCGGGCUAGAGUAUGGCAGAGGGGGGUAGAAUUCCACGUGUAGCAGUGAAAUGCGUAGAGAUGUGGAGGAAUACCGAUGGCGAAGGCAGCCCCCUGGGCCAAUACUGACGCUCAUGCACGAAAGCGUGGGGAGCAAACAGGAUUAGAUACCCUGGUAGUCCACGCCCUAAACGAUGUCAACUGGUUGUCGGGCCUUCAUUGGCUUGGUAACGUAGCUAACGCGUGAAGUUGACCGCCUGGGGAGUACGGUCGCAAGAUUAAAACUCAAAGGAAUUGACGGGGACCCGCACAAGCGGUGGAUGAUGUGGAUUAAUUCGAUGCAACGCGAAAAACCUUACCUACCCUUGACAUGUACGGAA
rnacentral:rRNA from 2 species